AUUGAACGCUGGCGGCAGGCUUAACACAUGCAAGUCGAGCGGAGAUGAGGUGCUUGCACCUUAUCUUAGCGGCGGACGGGUGAGUAAUGCUUAGGAAUCUGCCUAUUAGUGGGGGACGACAUUCCGAAAGGAAUGCUAAUACCGCAUACGCCCUACGGGGGAAAGCAGGGGAUCUUCGGACCUUGCGCUAAUAGAUGAGCCUAAGUCGGAUUAGCUAGUUGGUGGGGUAAAGGCCUACCAAGGCGACGAUCUGUAGCGGGUCUGAGAGGAUGAUCCGCCACACUGGGACUGAGACACGGCCCAGACUCCUACGGGAGGCAGCAGUGGGGGAUAUUGGACAAUGGGCGGAAGCCUGAUCCAGCCAUGCCGCGUGUGUGAAGAAGGCCUUUUGGUUGUAAAGCACUUUAAGCGAGGAGGAGGCUACCUGGAUUAAUACUCUAGGAUAGUGGACGUUACUCGCAGAAUAAGCACCGGCUAACUCUGUGCCAGCCGCCGCGGUAACAC
rnacentral:rRNA from 1 species